rnacentral:ncRNA from 22 species
GCAGUGCCAUGGCCGCCUGCAGUAAUUAAAUAUUCACACAUAAGGUAAAAGGCGCAGGAUUCUGCGCCUUUUUU